rnacentral:rRNA from 1 species
AGAGUUUGAUCCUGGCUCAGGAUGAACGCUAGCGGCAGGCUUAACACAUGCAAGUCGAGGGGUAACGAUGUCUUCGGACAGUCGACGACCGGCGCACGGGUGAGUAUCGCGUUUGUAACCUACCUUUAACUGGAGAAUAGCCCGUAGAAAUGCGGAUUAAUGCUCCAUAAUACUAUAGUUUGGCAUCAUUUUAUAGUUAAAGCUCCGGCGGUUAAAGAUGGGCAUGCGUAACAUUAGCUAGUUGGUGAGGUAACGGCUCACCAAGGCUACNAUGUUUAGGGGGUCUGAGAGGAUGGUCCCCCACACUGGUACUGAGACACGGACCA